rnacentral:rRNA from 1 species
GAUGAACGCUGGCGGCGUGCCUAACACAUGCAAGUCGAGCGGGGAUAUUGGAAGAUAUUCGUAUCGGAAGAUAUUCUAGCGGCGGACGGGUGAGUAACACGUGAGCAACCUACCUUUUGCAGGGGAAUAACAGUGGGAAACCACGGCUAAUACCGCAUAACAUUACGAGGGGACAUCCUCUUGUGCUCCAAGGAGAAAUCCGGCAGAAGAUGGGCUCGAGGCCGAUUAGUUAGUUGGCGGGGUAACGGCCCACCAAGACCGCGAUCGGUAGCCGAACUGGGAGGUUGAUCGGCCACCUUGGGACUGGGAUACGGCCCAGACUCCUACGGGAGGCAGCAGUGGGGAAUAUUGGGCAAUGGGGGAAACCCUGACCCAGCAUCGCCGCGUGAAGGACGAAGGCCUUCGGGUUGUAAACUUCUUUGAUCAGGGACGGAACAAAUGACGGUACCUGAAGAACAAGCCACGGCUAACUACGUGCCAGCAGCCGCCGCGGUAA